rnacentral:rRNA from 1 species
GGCGAACGCUGGCGGCGGGCUUAACACAUGCAAGUCGAACGGAAGGGCCGUGAGUGUGUGGGGUGACGGGGGGCGAAAGGGGGAAGGAACAGGUAAACAACGGGCCCUAGUUUUUGGGGGAAGUUAAGGAAAGGGGGGUUAAGACCGUAUAGGAGACCACGUACGAGGGUGGGGGGGGGAAAGUCUCGGCGGUUGGGGUUGGACUAGCGGCUUUCGGACUUGUUGGUGGGGGAGUGGAUGCCCAAGCCUUGGACGGGUAGCCGGCCGGAGAGGGUGGACGGCCACAAUGGUACUGCGAGACGCACCAGACGCGUACGGGAGGCAGCAGUGGGGAAUAUUGCACAAUGGGCGGACGCCUGAUGCAGCAGCGUCGCGUGCGUGAUGACGGCCUUCGGGGUGUAAACCGCUUUCGCCUGUGACGAAGCGUGAGUGACGGUAAUGGGUAAAGAAGCACCGGCUAACUACGUG